rnacentral:rRNA from 1 species
UACCUUGACUGUGCUAAGGUAGCAUAAUAAAUUGACUUUUAAUUGAAGCCUUGAAUGAAAGGAUCUAUGGAUAAAAUCUGUCUUACUAUAAUUUAUUUUAAGUUGCUUAAAAGGUGAAAAUUCCUUUAAUUUAUAUAAUAGACGAGAAGACCCUAGGAGUUUAAAUUUAUUUUGUUGGGGUGACAAUAUAACAGUAUAACUUAUAUAAACUGAUAAUAUAAAACGAAAAUUUUAAAUUUUAAAUAAGCUACCCUAGGGAUAACAGCAUAAUACUAUUAAUGAGUUUGUGACCUCGAUGUUGGAUUAGGGUU